GUGACCAUGGUGUCCAUGGAAGCACUGAGCAUUUGGGUCUUUGGGGAUUAGGAAAGUUGAACUGGGAGUCCCGCUGGCAUUGCAGCUCCAGCAUGGCCCCUGUAUGACCACAGCUUCUCAUGGCAGAUGACAACAGAGGGGCCGAAGAGACCCGAUGCCACUCUCGCCUAGUGACACAGUCACCCUGUUGCUGGAAUGAGGCGGAAAUGGACAAAUGGAUCAAAAACAAAAGGGCUCCGAAAUGUUUUUCUUGAUCAGAUCCCAUGAGCCCCAUCAGCAGCAUCCGCAAUGGCUUUUACAGAGCAGGCUGGGCGGCGUGAUUUUGUUCAUGUUCCCAGGGAACAAAACAACAUCACAAACACGCGUCUUGCUGAAAACACUCCCUCCAAUCUGAAACCAUGAUUGUUCACCAGCAAAGUUACUCGUGGGCUUGGGAAAUAAUUCACAAGCAGAGGAGAUGGUGUAACAGGAUGUGGGCAUCUAAUCUCUCCGUACCAGGAGACAGUCAUAAGCACUGGCACUUACCCAGCAGUCAGCUACAAUUUGUUUGCACACAGGGUUUGCUGGAAAAUUGCAUCCAGCCGUCCAGUUAAUAAAAAUCAUCUUCACACA